AUACGGAGGGUCCAAGCGUUGUCCGGAUUUAUUGGGUGUAAAGGGUGUGUAGGCGGGCUUGUAAGUCAGAGGUGAAAUCCUACGGCUCAACCGUAGAACUGCCUUUGAUACUGCAGGUCUUGAGUCCUGGAGAGGUUGUUAGAAUUCGUGGUGUAGCGGUGAAAUGCGUAGAUAUCACGAGGAAUACCGGUUACGAAGGUUGACAGCUGGACAGGUACUGACGCUGAGGCACGAAAGCGUGGGGAGCAAACAGGAUUAGAAACCCGGGUAGUCC
rnacentral:rRNA from 1 species